GCCUCGUUAGUGCAGUAGGUAACGCGUGAGUCUCAUAAUCUGAAGGUCGUGAGUUCAAUCCUUACACGAGGCA